rnacentral:rRNA from 1 species
UCUAUACCCUUUGUGACAUACCUAUCACUGUUGCUUCGGCGGGUAGGGUCUCCGCGACCCUCCCGGCCUCCCGCCUCCGGGCGGGUCGGCGCCCGCCGGAGGAUAACCAAACUCUGAUUUAACGACGUUUCUUCUGAGUGGUACAAGCAAAUAAUCAAAACUUUUAACAACGGAUCUCUUGGUUCUGGCAUCGAUGAAGAACGCAGCGAAAUGCGAUAAGUAAUGUGAAUUGCAGAAUUCAGUGAAUCAUCGAAUCUUUGAACGCACAUUGCGCCCGCCAGCAUUCUGGCGGGCAUGCCUGUUCGAGCGUCAUUUCAACCCUCAAGCUCUGCUUGGUGUUGGGGCCCUACAGCUGAUGUAGGCCCUCAAAGGUAGUGGCGGACCCUCCCGGAGCCUCCUUUGCGUAGUAACUUUACGUCUCGCACUGGGAUCCGGAGGGACUCUUGCCGUAAAACCCCCCAAUUUUCCAAAGGUUGACCUCGGAUCAGGUAGGAAUACCCGCUGAACUUAAGCAUAUCAAUAAGCGGAGGAA